GAGAGUUUGAUUCUGGCUCAGGAUAAACGCUGGCGGUGUACAUAAGACAUGCAAGUCGAACGGGAGAAGACAGGAAGAUUUAUCUACUUGUUGGACACCGUGGCGGACGGGUGAGUAACACGUAAGCAACCUGCCUAUAAGAGGGGAAUAACAGUGAGAAAUUACUGAUAAUACCGCAUAAGCUGAAGGUAUCGCAUGAUACAUUCAGAAAAGAUUUAUCGCUUAUAGAUGGGCUUGCGUCUGAUUAGCUAGUUGGUGAGAUAACAGCUCACCAAGGCGACGAUCAGUAGCCGGAUUGAGAGGUUGAACGGCCACAUUGGGACUGAGACACGGCCCAGACUCCUACGGGAGGCAGCAGUCGGGAAUAUUGCACAAUGGAGGAAACUCUGAUGCAGUGACACCGCGUAUAGGAAGAAGGUCUUAGGAUUGUAAGCUAUUGUCGUGUGAGAAGAAAAUGACCAUCACAGGAGGAAGCCCUGGCUAAAUAUGUGCCAGCAGCCGCGGUAAUACAUAUGGGGCGAGCGUUAUCCGGAUUUAUUGGGUGUAAAGGGUGCGUAGGCGGGAAAAUAAGUCAGUAUGUGAAAUCCCUCGGCUCAACUGAGGAACUGCAACUGAAACUAUUUUUCUUGAGUGUUGAAAGGGGAAAGUGGAAUUCCUAGUGUAGCGGUGAAAUGCGUAGAGAUUAGAGGAACACCAGUGGCGAAGCGACUUUCUGGGCAACAACUGACGCUGAGGCACGAAAGUGUGGGGAGCAAACAGGAUUAGAUACCCUGGUAGUCCACACCGUAAACGAUGGAUACUAGGAGUUGGCAAAAUAUUGUCGGUUCCGCAGUAACGCAUUAGUAUCCACUGGGGAGUACGACCGCAAGGUAAACUCAAAGGAAUGACGGGGGCCGCACAGCAGUGGAGUAUGUGGUUAUUCGAGCACCGCGAAGAACUUACAGCUGGACAUAUAAGAUAUUAAGAGAUUAUUAGCUCUACGGAUCUUGUUACAGGUGGUGCAUGCUUUCGUCAGGUCGUUCCUGAAAUGUAGUUAGUUCGUACCAGGCCAACCCAUGCUAGUGCUAACUUAUUCAGACUUAGCAGAACUGCAUGUAACCGGGAAGGUGGACCACGUCAAACUAUGGCUUAUGUUCUUGGCUUAAGG
rnacentral:rRNA from 1 species